AAGCAAAGUCUUAGGAGAGGCCCACCGAAAAAAUUAAUUUGUUUAAUAUGGUGAUUAAAAAUAUAAAGAGAAGUGAAGAUUUCCAUAGAAGUCAGUAAACUGGUUUACUGCCUACUUGUAUCAGACCACCUGCCCUAAACCUACUGAAAUUAAUUACUGGGAUUGGACAGAAAUCUGCAUUUUAAAAUUACACCCUCAGUUGACUCAUCUAUUGCAGGUCUCAGGAGCUUGGAGACCCUCUUAUGCCCUUAAUCAGAGACCAAAAACAAUGUGGUGAACUCUAGAAAUUGAGGACUGUCCAUUCCAUACAAAAUAAUGGUGCCUCCCACCAAGACC
rnacentral:lncRNA from 1 species